rnacentral:rRNA from 1 species
AGGGAUCAUUACCGAGUUAUCCAACUCCCAACCCCUGUGAAUUAUACCUUUAAUUGUUGCUUCGGCGGGACUUCGCGCCCGCCGGGGACCCAAACCUUCUGAAUUUUUUAAUAAGUAUCUUCUGAGUGGUUAAAAAAAUGAAUCAAAACUUUCAACAACGGAUCUCUUGGUUCUGGCAUCGAUGAAGAACGCAGCGAAAUGCGAUAAGUAAUGUGAAUUGCAGAAUUCAGUGAAUCAUCGAAUCUUUGAACGCACAUUGCGCCCGUCAGUAUUCUGGCGGGCAUGCCUGUUCGAGCGUCAUUACGCCCCUCAAGUCCCCUGUGGACUUGGUGUUGGGGAUCGGCGAGGCUGGUUUUCCAGCACAGCCGUCCCUUAAAUUAAUUGGCGGUCUCGCCGUGGCCCUCCUCUGCGCAGUAGUAAAACACUCGCAACAGGAGCCCGGCGCGGUCCACUGCCGUAAAACCCCCCAACUUUUUAUAGUUGACCUCGAAUCAGGUAGGACUACCCGCUGAACUUAA